rnacentral:rRNA from 1 species
AAUGAACGCUGGCGGCAGGCCUAACACAUGCAAGUCGAACGAAGCCUUCGGGCUUAGUGGCGGACGGGUGAGUAACGCGUGGGAACAUACCCUUUGGUACGGAAUAGCCUCGGGAAGCUGGGAGUAAUACCGUAUGUGCCCUUCGGGGAAGAUUAUCGCCAAAGGAUUGGCCGCGUUGGAUUAGGUAGUUGGUGGGGUAAGUGGCCUACCAAGCCGACGAUCCAUAGCUGGUUUGAGAGGAUGAUCAGCCACACUGGGACUGAGACACGGCCCAGACUCCUACGGGAGGCAGCAGUGGGGGAAUCUUAGACAAUGGGCGCAAGCCUGAUCUAGCCAUGCCGCGUGAUCGAUGAAGGCCUUAGGGUUGUAAAGAUCUUUCAGAUGGGAAGAUAAUGACGGUACCAUCAGAAGAAGCCCCCGGCUAACUCCGUG